rnacentral:rRNA from 1 species
GACGAACGCUGGCGGCGUGCCUAACACAUGCAAGUCGAGCGAAGUGAGUACUACGGUACGAACUUAGCGGCGGACGGGUGAGUAACGCGUGGACAAUCUACCCUGUAGACUGGGAUAACACCUCGGAAGGGGUGCUAAUACCGGAUAAUGUCGAGAAGCGGCAUCGCUUUUCGAAGAAAGGAGAGAAUCCGCUAUAGGAGGAGCCCGCGUCCCAUUAGCUAGUUGGUGAGGGUAACGGCCCACCUAGGCGACGAUGGGUAGCCGGCCUGAGAGGGUGAACGGCCACACUGGAACUGAGACACGGUCCAGACUCCUACGGGAGGCAGCAGUGGGGAAUAUUGUGCAAUGGGGGAAACCCUGACACAGCAACGCCGCGUGAGCGAAGAAGGCCUUCGGGUUGUAAAGCUCAAUAGUAUGGGAAGAUAAUGACGGUACCAUACGAAAGCCCCGGCUAACUCCGUGCCAGCCGCCGCAGUAAAAC